UGUAGGAGCUCCGUGGAAUGAAGCUGCUGUACUGAACUGAUUUUUGUUUAAACAGAACCGGAGGAGACGCUGAAAGUGCAGUCGUUUCCAUGCCAGGCUGCAAGUUCAGUUUUUCUACACGGUGAAGUGUCUGUUGUGUUCAUAAGAUCUUGGAUUCAACAAUAACACCUCAUCUAUGCUGAGGCAUUAUGGAGCCCUGGAUGAAAAAAAAGGACACCAACCAAGGUGGACCAAGCUCAGAUGCUUCAUCAGCAGUGUCUCCUAAUACCAUCCACUUAUAAGCACAGUGUGGAUGGGAUCAUAAUGGAAUAUAAAGGCACAAGGGCUGGAACUCUUCAUCAGUAUAUUGCCAACAAGCCAGACAAGUGAACAAGACAAGGGGCUUUAAAUCCUGCUGAGCCAGCUCAUCUGGCAUCAUCCGUGACAGAAACAAGUAUCUCUCAAAAGGUUCCGCUUAGCAGUGGCCCUCAGUUUGAACCAAAUCAACACACCAGCAGGCAAAGUUGGCUGACCAUCAUUAUCCUUUCCUCUGCCUCAAAAGAAACACUAUAUCCCAAGCAUUCCCAAGUGUACAUCCCCUGAAUGGAAACCAGGAAUGCUUUGUUGCAUACCACCAAAAAUGCAGUGGACUUAAUGUUCCAAAAGCAUUUGUACUGAUGUACCACCACCACAUAGAUCACAUAG